rnacentral:rRNA from 1 species
AACGAACGCUGGCGGCAGGCUUAACACAUGCAAGUCGAACGCCCCGCAAGGGGAGUGGCAGACGGGUGAGUAACGCGUGGGAAUCUACCCAGAUCUUCGGAGCAACUGAGGGAAACUUCAGCUAAUACCGGAUACGCCCUACGGGGGAAAGAUUUAUCGGUUCUGGAUGAGCCCGCGUUGGAUUAGCUAGUUGGUGAGGUAACGGCUCACCAAGGCGACGAUCCAUAGCUGGUCUGAGAGGAUGAUCAGCCACACUGGGACUGAGACACGGCCCAGACUCCUACGGGAGGCAGCAGUGGGGAAUAUUGGACAAUGGGCGAAAGCCUGAUCCAGCCAUGCCGCGUGAGUGAUGAAGGCCUUAGGGUUGUAAAGCUCUUUCAGUGGGGAAGAUAAUGACGGUACCCACAGAAGAAGCCCCGGCUAACUUCGUGCCAGCCGCCGCGGUAAAAC